CUAAUAUGGAAGUAGAACUCAGUUCGAUUGACAUAGCAGGAUCUAAUGGAACUAAAGUAGAAAGCCAGAGUUCUGGCCUCAUAUGGCUUGAUCCUGCCCAAUGCUGCUAUGUUUUGUAUUCUAAACUGAACUCUGAUAAGGUUCUCCUGCAACAGUCGCCAUUGGCCCUUGCGAAAGCUCUAAAGAACUCUGUUGAGUUGGACGGACUAAAG
rnacentral:misc_RNA from 1 species